UGUUUCCUACGGGGGGCAGCAGUGGGGAAUAUUGCACAAUGGGCGAAAGCCUGAUGCAGCAACGCCGCGUGGAGGAUGAAGGUUUUAGGAUUGUAAACUCCUUUUGUUAGAGAAGAUUAUGACGGUAUCUAACGAAUAAGCACCGGCUAACUCCGUGCCAGCAGCCGCGGUAAUACGGAGGGUGCAAGCGUUACUCGGAAUCACUGGGCGUAAAGAGUGCGUAGGCGGGGCAAUAAGUCAGAUGUGAAAUCCUGUAGCUUAACUACAGAACUGCAUUUGAAACUGUUACUCUGGAGUGUGGGAGG
rnacentral:rRNA from 1 species